GCGGGUAUAGUUUAGUGGCAAAAUGAGACCUUCCCAAGGUUUAGUUGCGGGUUCGAUUCCCGCUACCCGCU
rnacentral:tRNA from 2 species